rnacentral:tRNA from 1 species
UCGGCGGCGGUCCAGGCGCCGAGCGACUGCCGGAUCGGGGUUGUCGAUCGUCUUGGGCAGUCCGACGACCGUGAGCGGGUAGUCGUGCUCGGCGAGGUAGGCCGCGAGGUCGGCUGCGGUGGUGUUGGUGUCGUCGCCGCCGAU